GUUCCAGUGGUGUAGUCCGGUCAAGCAUACUGCCCUUUCAAGGCAGUGAUCCCGGGUUCAAAUCCCGGCUGGAGCA
rnacentral:tRNA from 2 species